rnacentral:rRNA from 1 species
GACGAACGCUGGCGGCGUGCUUAACACAUGCAAGUCGAACGAAGUGGCGAACGGGUGAGUAACGCGUAAUCAACCUGCCCUUCAGCGGGGGACAACAGUUGGAAACGACUGCUAAUACCGCAUACUGAAGGAGGGGAUUGGGUCUGAUUGGCUAGGUGGGGGGGUAACGGCCCACCAAGGCGAUGAUCAGUAGCCUGUCUGGGAGGGUGAACGGCCACAUUUGGACUGGGAAACGGCCCAGACUCCUACGGGAGGCAGCAGUGGGGGAUCUUCCGGAAUGGACGAAAGUCUUACGGAGCAACGCCGCGUGAGUGAUGACGGCCUUCGGGUUGUAAAGCUCUGUUAAUCGGGACGCGGUACCGGAAUAGAAAGCCACGGCUAACUACGUGCCAGCAGCCGCGGUAAUUC